AGUGAACGCUGGCGGUAGGCCUAACACAUGCAAGUCGAACGGCAGCACAGUAAGAGCUUGCUCUUACGGGUGGCGAGUGGCGGGCGGGUGAGGAAUACAUCGGAAUCUACUUUUUCGUGGGGGAUAACGUAGGGAAACUUACGCUAAUACCGCAUACGACCUACGGGUGAAAGCAGGGGAUCUUCGGACCUUGCGCGAUUGAAUGAGCUGAUGUCGGAUUAGCUAGUUGGCGGGGUAAAGGCCCACCAAGGCGACGAUCCGUAGCUGGUCUGAGAGGAUGAUCAGCCACACUGGAAGUGAGACACGGUCCAGACUCCUAGGGAAGGCACCAGUGGGGAAGAUUGGACAAUGGGCGCAAGCCUGAUCCAGCCAUACCGCGUGGGUGAAGAAGGGCUUCGGGUUGUAAAGCCCUUUUGUUGGGAAAGAAAAGCAGCAGGUUAAUACCCCGCUGUUCUGACGGUACCCAAAGAAUAAGCACCGGCUAACUUCGUG
rnacentral:rRNA from 1 species